rnacentral:rRNA from 1 species
AAUAUGGGGGGACCAUCCUCCAAGGCUAAAUACUCGUAAUCGACCGAUAGUGAACUAGUACCGUGAGGGAAAGGUGAAAAGAACCCCGGGAGGGGAGUGAAAUAGAUUCUGAAACCGUAUGCAUACAAACAGUAGGAGCCCUUCGGGGUGACUGCGUACCUUUUGUAUAAUGGGUCAGCGACUUACAUUCAGUAGCAAGCUUAACCGAUAGGGAAGGCGUAGCGAAAGCGAGUCCUAAUAGGGCGUCCUAGUUACUGGGUGUAGACCCGAAACCAAGUGAUCUAUCCAUGGCCAGGAUGAAGGUGCCGUAACAGGUACUGGAGGUCCGAACCCACAAAUGUUGAAAAAUUUGGGGAUGAGCUGUGGAUAGGGGUGAAAGGCUAAUCAAACUUGGAGAUAGCUGGUUCUCUCCGAAAACUAUUUAGGUAGUACCUCGUAUCUUACUCUCGGGGGUAGAGCACUGUUAUGGCUAGGGGGUCCUUAAGGACUUACCAAACCAUUGCAAACUCCGAAUACCGAGAAGUACAAUUACGGGAGACAGACAUCGGGUGCUAACGUCCGGUGUCAAGAGGGAAACAACCCAGACCGCCAGCUAAGGUCCCAAAUGAUAUGCUAAGUGGUAAACGAAGUGAGAAGGCCCAGACAGCCAGGAGGUUGGCUUAGAAGCAGCCACCCUUUAAAGAAAGCGUAAUAGCUCACUGGUCGAGUCGUCUUGCACGGAAGAUGUAACGGGGCUAAGCAUAUAACCGAAGCUGCGGAUGCGUGUUUACACGCAUGGUAGGAGAGCGUUCUGUAGGUCUGUGAAGGUGUUCUGUGAGGAAUGCUGGAGAUAUCAGAAGUGCGAAUGCUGACAUGAGUAGCGAUAAAGGGAGUGAAAGGCUCCCUCGCCGAAAGCCCAAGGUUUCCUGCGCAACGUUCAUCGGCGCAGGGUGAGUCGGCCCCUAAGGUGAGGCAGAAAUGCGUAGCCGAUGGGAAACAGGUUAAUAUUCCUGUACCUUAAUAUAAUGCGAUGUGGGGACGGAGAAGGUUAGGUCAGCCAAGUGUUGGAUAUCUUGGUUCAAGCGUGUAGGUAGAUUCUUUAGGCAAAUCCGGAGAGUCAAUACCGAGGCGUGAUAACGAGUGAACUUUGUUCAUGAAGUGAUUGAUACCAUGCUUCCAAGAAAAGCCACUAAGCUUCAGUUAUAUUGAGACCGUACCGCAAACCGACACAGGUGGGCAGGAUGAGAAUUCUAAGGCGCUUGAGAGAACUCUGGAGAAGGAACUCGGCAAAUUUGUACCGUAACUUCGGGAUAAGGUACGCCCUAUUAGGUUGAGACAAUUUACUUGUUAAGGCUGAACGGGUUGCAGUGAAAAGGUGGCUGCGACUGUUUAAUAAAAACACAGCACUGUGCUAACACGAAAGUGGAUGUAUACGGUGUGACGCCUGCCCGGUGCUCGAAGGUUAAAUGAUGGGGUGCAAGCUCUUGAUUGAAGCCCGAGUAAACGGCGGCCGUAACUAUAACGGUCCUAAGGUAGCGAAAUUCCUUGUCGGG